UAAAAACACACACCUUCGUUGUAUUUGCACAAAUGUAUAAUAGUUGUACAUAAUCACUCCAGAAAUUUAAAGACACAAAAGCGACGCACGCACACACACACACACAUAUAUAUAUAUAUUAACCAUAAUCAUUUUACAUGUCAACAACCAGGAGCUUACAGAAGUAUCCUACACUUCACAAAGUGUCAUCUAACUAGGAUUGUCACACACACUAUAAAUCAUGCAAGUCACUGAUCCAAGAGAUCACAACCAUCGGCAUGUGCAUGGCCAAAAAGAGGAGUGGCGGGUUGCACUUAAUUAAGUAUGCAUAUCCUAGUAACAAGCAUUGGCUUCCAAUUUAUCGACACAAAAAGUUUAUGGCACUUCCUUCACAACCGCAAGAGACAUCUCAAAAAGGAGGUAGUUCGUCACUAGGCGGAGAGAAAUUUCUAGUUUGCAUCAAAAGAGCCAGCAAACAUUCCAUCUUCUGCUCCAUGCGAUGUAUUAUUCAUAUUUUCAGCACCAUUAGUUGAUUCACCUGUGGAGGGCUGCAGAAAUGUCUUUUUCAGAAUCUUGAUAUAUCAAAUCAUAAAUAAUGACUACAAAAAUUCUUAGUUGAUUCAACAGCAAGAUAGAUGUUAAACUAUGUAGCAAUGAUUGGCGUGCAUUGUUAUAUAUAAUUUUGCAUCACAAAGUUUGCCAUCAAACAACACAAUGCUUAUAAUGAAUGGAAAGAUUUACCCUAUGUAGCAAUUGAACCAUGGCUGAGAAAACCCUUUUGUUUGUAUUUUUUCUUACAAUAUACUUAACAUAUUCUAAUAAAGAUGGUAAGCACCACAUCACUAAAAUGUCCUGGACUGCUCUAGCUUAAUGUACAUUGAUAGAAAAGGCUCAAGCUACUACAAAUACCACAAAUGCCUCCUUAUUUUCAAUUAAGGACCUAGAGAAGAACACAUAGCAGAGGUAGUACCAUAGCUUCAAGGCUGUUGUGUUAUUAGUUGUAACAUAUUGUGUUGGCAAAAUAGCUUCAACACAAUAGCAAUAAAAAAAACAGAUGCACAUUUGCUGCUAUAGUGCAACCUAUUCCUUUUCUUUUCUUAUUUGGCCGAUCUGGUGUUAUUGCCUUCAAAAGAAAUAUGCACAUACCAUUUGUGGAGAAAAGAUCGGAGACGAAGUGGUUAAUGUUGAAAAAGCUGGAGGUGGAGGUAUAACAAUACAUGGAAUCUCAGGCCCUUGAAUUCCUUGAAGGGAUGUGAUGGUCUGACAUUUUUCAUACAAAUUAGAAAGCUAUAUCGAAUGGCUUUACACACCAUAAGAAACUUAUGCAGACCACCAAGGCUACUCUCCACUGUAGUCUGGACAGAAUUGUUAGCACACCAUUUGGCUUUCUCACAUUUUUUCCUCAAUGUAUGUAAUUCUAACCAGUGC
rnacentral:lncRNA from 1 species